rnacentral:antisense_RNA from 1 species
ACGGUUCCAACGCCCGAGCCCAGCGGGCCAGGCUAGUUGCUCCGGGGCUGGGAGUUACGGCACCGGGGUUGGGGCGGAGAAGACGAACUAGUUCAACUCGACCCGGUUAAGCAAGCGCAGCAGUGUGUGUUCUUGGAUCAUAGUAUUUCAUGUAAACAUUUUGAUUUAAGAGAAACAAAAGGGAAAAUAUUAACCGUUUUCAAGCAUCCAAAGGCGAAAUGCUUCAUCUCUGGGAUGGAGUAGAGGAGUAGCCUCUGCGGUUGAGUUGCAGUCGUGGGUGCAAGAAGCAGCGCUGAAGCAGAGUGCAGCCCCGGAAUAGGGCGGGAUGGAAUGGCCUGGGCAGUUCAGAAACCCGCGAGGAGUCCAGGGCGGAACAGAAGAGGACACAUAGAUAAAUGAGCACAGAGGGAAGAAGGCCAUUUGGAGAUAGAAGCAGGGAUUGGAGUGAUGCAACUGGAAGCCAAGAAACGCCGCAGAAUGCCAGGAGCCAGCAGAACCUAAGAAAAGGCAAAGGAUUAUUCCAAAGUGCCUUCCGAAGAAGCUUGGCCCUGCCAAAAACCUGAUUUCAGACUUCUAGCCCCCAAAACUGCAAGAGAAUAAAUUUUGUUGUUUCAA